GUAGGGAAUAUUGGGCAAUGGUCGGAAGACUGACCCAGCCAUGCCGCGUGCAGGAAGACGGCCCUCUGGGUUGUAAACUGCUUUUAUCUGGGAAGAAAAAGGCCAUGCGUGGCAAAUUGCCGGUACCAGAUGAAUAAGCACCGGCUAACUCCGUGCCAGCAGCCGCGGUAAUACGGAGGGUGCAAGCGUUGUCCGGAUUUAUUGGGUUUAAAGGGUGCGUAGGCGGCUGAUUAAGUCAGCGGUGAAAGACUCCGGCUUAACCGGAGCAGUGCCGUUGAUACUGGUUAGCUUGAGUGUUGGAGGGGUACAUGGAAUUGAUGGUGUAGCGGUGAAAUGCAUAGAUACCAUCAGGAACACCGAUAGCGAAGGCAUUGUACUGGCCAACAACUGACGCUGAUGCACGAAAGUGUGGGGAUCGAACAGGAUUAGAAACCCUGGUAGUCC
rnacentral:rRNA from 1 species